GGGACGUUUCCCGCGACAUGCUGAUUCUCGAUUACUAGCAACUCCGGCUUCAUGCAGGCGAGUUUCAGCCUGCAAUCCGAACUGGGAUGAGUUUUAUGAGAUUUGCUCCACCUCGCGGUCUCGCGUCUCUUUGUUCUCACCAUUGUAGCACGUGUGUAGCCCUAGACAUAAGGGGCAUGAUGAUUUGACGUCAUCCCCACCUUCCUCCCGGUUAACCCGGGCAGUCUCUUUAGAGUGCUCAACUGAAUGGUAGCAACUAAAAAUAAGGGUUGCGCUCGUUGCGGGACUUAACCCAACAUCUCACGACACGAGCUGACGACAACCAUGCACCACCUGUCUUCCUGCCCCGAAGGGCUUCCCCGGUUAAGGGUAAUUCAGGAGAUGUCAAGUCUAGGUAAGGUUCUUCGCGUUGCUUCGAAUUAAACCACAUGCUCCGCUGCUUGUGCGGGCCCCCGUCAAUUCCUUUGAGUUUUAGUCUUGCGACCGUACUCCCCAGGCGGGGUACUUAUUGUGUUAACGACGGCACAGAAGGGGUCGAUACCUCCUACACCUAGUACCCAUCGUUUACGGCGUGGACUACCAGGGUAUCUAAUCCUGUUUGCUACCCACGCUUUCAUGCCUCAGUGUCAGUUACAGUCCAGAAAGCCGCCUUCGCCACUGGUGUUCCUCCUAAUAUCUACGCAUUUCACCGCUACACUAGGAAUUCCGCUUUCCUCUCCUGCACUCUAGAUACCCAGUUUGGAAUGCAGUUCCC
rnacentral:rRNA from 1 species